AUUGAACGCUGGCGGCAUGCCUUACACAUGCAAGUCGAACGGUAACGGGCCUUCGGGUGCCGACGAGUGGCGAACGGGUGAGUAAUACAUCGGAACGUGCCCGAUCGUGGGGGAUAACGAGGCGAAAGCUUUGCUAAUACCGCAUACGAUCUACGGAUGACAGCAGGGGACUGCAAGGCCUUGCGCGGACGGAGCGGCCGAUGGCAGCUUAGGUAGUUGGUGGGAUAAAAGCUUACCAAGCCGACGAUCUGUAGCUGGUCUGAGAGGAUGAUCAGCCACACUGGGACUGAGACACGGCCCAGACUCCUAAGGGAGGCAGCAGUGGGGAAUUUUGGACAAUGGGCGCAAGCCUGAUCCAGCCAUGCCGCGUGCAGGAUGAAGGCCUUCGGGUUGUAAACUGCUUUUGUACGGAACGAAAAGCCUUCUUUUAAUACAGGAGGGUCAUGACGGUACCGUAAGAAUAAGCACCGGCUAACUACGUG
rnacentral:rRNA from 1 species